CCUACGGGCCGCACCAGUGGGGAAUAUUGCGCAAUGGGCGCAAGCCUGAUGCAGCCAUGCCGAGUGUAUGAAGAAGGCCUUCGGGUUGUAAAGUACUUUCAGCGGGGAGGAAGGCGAUAAGGUUAAUAACCUUGUCGAUUGACGUUACCCGCAGAAGAAGCACCGGCUAACUCCGUGCCAGCAGCCGCGGUAAUACGGAGGGUGCAAGCGUUAAUCGGAAUUACUGGGCGUAAAGCGCACGCAGGCGGUUUGUUAAGUCAGAUGUGAAAUCCCCGGGCUCAACCUGGGAACUGCAUCUGAUACUGGCAGGCUAGAGUCUUGUAGAGGGGGGUAGAAUUUCAGGUGUAGCGGUGAAAUGCGUAGAGAUCUGAAGGAAUACCAGUGGCGAAGGCGGCCCUCUGGACAAAGACUGACGCUCAGAUGCGAAAGCGUGGGGAGCAAACAGGAUUAGAUACCCGGGUAGUC
rnacentral:rRNA from 1 species